UGCCUCCUCCUCCCUUCUCACCCCUGGACCUGUCUGGUGCUCUGGACUGCUGGCUGACCCUGCUCUGCAUCGCUGGACCUGAGCUGCCUUUCCUGCUCAGGUGCUGUGGGGCUGCACCCUUGUUGCUGUAAAGAAACACCCAGAAGCUGAUGGCCUGGAAAGCUGGAUGUCUGAACAGGUUACAAGGCUCCAUGUUGGGAAACAGCCACCAGCAGAAAGCACCAGUGGAGCAGAGAAUGGCAUUGAGACUCAACUAGCUUUGCUGCCGGAAAGAACCGCAUCUCGCAUCUUUUGGUGGUACCGCAUACCAUAUCGGAAGCCUAGCCUGAAGGUAUGCUGCAGGGGAACAGGAGUGCACACGUGGAAGAGGCAAACCACUGGGGACAACCAAAGACAGGAACCAGAGUAAGAGAAAAGCUGCAAGAGCAAGCACAGAGCACAAGGAGCCGCGGUGGGGAGGACCCUGGCUGGCAAGGAACCAGGCAGGGAUGGAUGGUGUCACCCCAGCGUGCUGCUCAGCCGAGAGGAGAGACUGAGCUGUCUACGUGGCUGAGAGUGACUGCUACCUGAUCCUGCUGGGCACCUUAACCACCCUCUGCCUUCGCUCCCCAAUUUCCGCAGCCCACAUGAUACUUCCCUUCUGUCAAGGGAUAAUAUCCAUUAGCAGUUGCCGAGCACUCCGAUAUUCUGCUGAUCAGAGGCUUUGGUUUCCCUCUGCUUUCUCUGAAAGGGUAAGUUGUGUAAUUUCAUCUUUCAUUUUUCCAAAGACUCACAUCAAAAAAGAUCUGAGUAAAAGGGGAUUCUACUUAUAUGCAAUUUUUUUGACAGCUGUUGGUAAAACCAAGUUGUCUGGUUUUAAGUAUUUGAUGAAACCAAAGCAGCCUGCACACCUCCAACUUGACUGAACACAAUCAGAAGGCUGUAAAAAUAAAAGUGUUCCCAUGCUGUUUCGAACUGCAGUAGUUCCACAGUCACUUAAUUCCCAUGAAAGCAGACUUAUUGGAUUUUUCAAUACAGAAGCAGCACUAGCAGUUUUUGAUCUUUGAAGUUUAUGGAUGGGAUUGGGGCAGGAAGCAAAUAAGAAAAGCCUCAUAAACUAAAUUGAAUUUCAGACUCAUGAAUGUGUGCAAACAAAUUCCCCCAACACAAAUCCUGCCUGGUUUAUGCCAGAAUUCAGCUUUACUUGGCACAUUCUGAGAAAAGUGAGCAUUAGCUAGCUGAAUAGUCUCUCUUCCAGUGAUAAGAAGGGUCUUUACAUGAGGAAAGUGUGUCCAGUGACCCAUAAACCAGUAUGAAAAGAGUUCAGUGCUGCCAGUUGCAACACCGCUUAUUACUCAAUUCAAUACUUGGGUCCUUCCUGGAGCAAAGCAAGCUGCAUGUUUGGGGUGGGUAACAACUUCACAAAGAUCAGUUAUUUGUGUUCCAAUGGGCAAUUUCAAAGAACAGGUCUUGAACUGAGACACCACAAGCAUGCCCUGGCCGGUCAGCCCCAGGCAAGACUCGGAGGACUGGUGGAGGAGCGAUGGCAGCGCAGUGUGGGAAAUGCCUGCAGAGUCAUCGCUUGGGGCUCAGCUCUUUGUCAGCUGUGACAUCAGAAGUGAUGAGCAUCCUCCUAACUGGGCCCAGGCAGAGUGCAGAGCCCUUAUCCUGCAGGUGGGGAACUUCAGGCUUCACUGACUGCUCUGGAGAGUGAAGAUUCCCCACCUCCUUCCCCAUAGUAAUUUUCUGUAUCUUUGCUUAAAACCUGCAUGAGAGCACCAGCAGCAGCAUCUGCUCUCACCAGUCCAUCCAAAAGACCUGCGUAACUCAGCUUCGCAUGCUAAGGCACACUAAAACCAGUAGUAGUCUUGGUGUAUGUACUUUGGCUGUGAAGGUGCAGGGGCUCUAACCCUAAAGGUGAGCAAAUUUCUCUAGAAAGAUCAAUCCAGCAUCUGCUGUCUUAUAAAGGAAGCAUCCUUACUUGUUUCACUGAAUGCACUUGGAUCAGAAGAAAAGAAGAGGACGUUGAUCAGAUCAGAGGCUGGACCGCUGUGAUGCUGCUUCAGUGCAUUUAAAGCCCUGUCAAAGAAGAAAAUAGCGAGGUUAGAUGCACAGCGUGAAUUUCUUCAGAGACCCCUGCACACCUUAGGGCAGUGACAAGAUUCGGGGCACAGAUUCAACUCUUCCAAAGCUGAAAAAUGGUACUCCACAACAGACUAAUCCUAUCGAACUGCUGCAUCCCCCAGCCCUCACACACACCCUCACACUGCCCAGACUUCCACUUUCAACUAUUGCUCCCAUUUGAUUCAGUCAGACCCUGUGCUGAGCCUUUUCAGCACACUAAUUCAGCAAAGAGCUACUCGCUUCUCCUGCCGGGAUGGAAAAGGUUCUACGCGGACUCCAGUGAGCACCAGAGGUGAUGUAACGCAGGACCAAAACAUGUAGCUGAGUGGGGGAUGAGGGGUGGGAGAGGAGGAGGGAGGAGCAGGACCAUACCAGCCAGCAGGCAGAUAAAUUCAAGCUGUUGUGACACGGUAGCAUAACGUACCCAACCGAGUUCUCUCGGUAUGGGUUCCCUCAGCAGUGAGCAGAAAAAGGAAGGCACAUCCAAAGGGUGGGUACCUCCCCGAAGUGGAGCUGAUAUAGGGGUAAAUCCCAGACUGGUUUGGGUAGGAAGGGACCUCAAAGCCCAUCUAGUUCCACCCCUGCCAUGGGCAGGGACACCCUCCACUAGCCCAGGUUGCCCAAAGCCCCAUCCAACCUGGCCUUGAACGCUGCCAGGGAGCCAGGGGCAGCCCCAGCUUCUCUGGGCAACCUGUGCCAGGGCCUCAGCACCCUCACAGGGAAGAAUUUCUUCCUCAGAUCUCGUCUCAAUCUCCCCUCCUUCAGCUUAAGGACAUUCCCCUUUGUUUCCUUGAGCUCUUGGUGGCUCCUCGCCCAUCCCCAGGUGGAGCUCCAUGCAUUCCAGCUGGUCACUGACACAGGGGGAUAAGACAGGAAAGGAGAGAAACCAAGCCCAGUGAAUUAAACAGAUCUGGCUCAGAAGAGCUUUUCAAGAAUAAACAUGGCAAUUCCUAGUAUGCUUCUGCACUCCUGAGCAGAGUGACCGUAAGUGAACUGCAACCCCGUGGCCCUUACUUUUUUAGCCUGUUGUAGGUGACAUCGUUGGCUAAUUUCAGCAGGCGAUAAGAGCUCUCUCGGUCCAAGCUCAGCAUGCCAUCUCGAGAUUCCUCAAAGGCAACAGUCACUGCUUUGGAGGUGACCCGUGUUACGAUGCCGGUGGAGAGUGGAUCACCCUGGCCAGCUGAAUCAUAAAGGCCCACUAUGUCCCCUGCAAAGACAAGUUUGAAGAGAGCGUGAAGUGGGGCAAACACCUGGAAAAGAAGCUCUUUCGGGGAGACCAGCCACCAAGCACAGUCCCGUGCAGACAGCAGGACCACCUACACCAGCCACAGCUCUAGCACCGUGUUUCCUGCCAAGGUCACAACUUGUCAAGCCCAUAAACGGAGAAUAUCCUUCUCUUAGGUGACAGGCAGCCCACAGCAGGAGGGAGCACAAGGACAAUUAGCAGCGAGAAGACACCUGACAGCAACUAACCGGCUGCCUUCAGGCCUUGGGGUGGAGAUGAGCAGUGCUCCCCGCAGCCAGAGCUGCUCUGAAAGCCAAUGUGCUUUCACACAGACCUUGGGAGAACCUGACUUCUCUGAACUCUCAGACAAACCAUUUUACAUCCAUUUUGUUUUUUAAUAAUAGCUAAGGAGUCUGCAAGACAAUGUCUGCCUCCCAGAUGACUGCUAUAUGCCAGCCAGCAGAAGGAAGAAAGACCAGAGAUUUUUAAGGACUCGCUACAGCUUUUCAGUCACUGUGAGAUGAUGAAAGAGUGGAAUUACAUAGUGUAAUGAUGAAAUGGGGGUUUUGAGCAGGAUGUUUGAUUAAGUUUGUAACUUAGCCGGGGCUCACAUUCAUUGAGGAUUAGAUUUCAGAUUUACAAACUAUGUGAAGCUCUCCUCUGUAAGGUCCACCAGCUCUUACAUUAAAAUGCCUGUGGCGCAGGAAUAA